GUUUAGCAAAACAAGAUGGCGGAAAGCGGAGAUGAAUAUGAGCGACCGAGAAAAAUGCCAAAAACAUUAAAAGAAAAAGAUUCGGGCAAACGUUUUCUAUAUACACACAGAGAAAAAUGUCUUAAUCGAGGUGAAUCCUCACACUAGAAUCCCUCGGACAUUUGACAGAUUUUGUGGAUUAAUGGGUUAGUAAAAGAGUUUAUGUUAACAAUCAGCAUUUUCCUCUUGGAAAGUAAAAUCAUUUGGCAAGUGGAGUGCGAGUACACAGAAGAGACAUUAUCAAUCAGUAAUUAUCCUUUAUCAGCAGCGCUUACCUGCGCAAAGAUUUGCACUGCCUUUGAAGAUAUGUGGGGAGUGGUGUAACAUGCGUAUUCCUCAAGGACCAUUACAUAGAACCAUCACAUCAUCGCACCAUGAUUACAUCAUGACGUCAUAGAACAAUUGAAUCAUUCAAUAUUGCACCAUUGUGUCAUUACAUCAUAGAACCAGAGUGAUAUUGUUUGAGGAGACUUUAUUUCAGAGUGAGACUAAGAGACUUCCUAAAUCCAGCUCAGACUGUAAAAUAUCAAAAACAAUCUCGUUCCCCGAGCCUGCGAUCCUGGGGAAGGAACGCGAGGCUCUGGGAUAAUCCGUUUCAGGGAGGAAUCUGAUUGGCCGUUGAAAUGGAAUGCGUAGUUCAAUCUUACUAAAACUGUCUGUACCAGUGUGGGUAGUACCAAUGUGAAAAUGCUGUGCUGAGUGGUUAUAUUACUACCAUGAAAAAUAAGCAGAAACUCGACGUUUCGAGCGAAGGCCCUUCGUCAAGAGUUACGAAGGGCCUUCGCUCGAAACGUCGAGUUUCUGCUUAUUUUUUAAGUUAGUAAUAUAACCACUCAGCACAGCAUAGUUCAAUCUUAGCCAGGAUUCCUGCCUUCCGGCAACGGAUUAUCCCAGAGCUUCGCGUUCCUUCCCGAGGAUCGCAGACUCGGGGAACGAGAUUGUAUCAAAAACUGACAAGUAUCUUCACACUAGAACGUUUAAAGAAACGCAGUGACAUAAGCAGGGGCAAAGCUAGCCAUUACAACUGGUCAUGUUAUGCUAAUAAAACAAUACAUUCCUAAAGGUUUGAAUAAUUCAAACAUUAAAAAUUUGCAAAGCAUCACCUGUUGCUAUGGCUAGCUUCGCCACUGGAUUUUUCAAAAAAAAUAUGACUAUGUUACCUUGUAUCGAAUAUAGGUGAGUUACAGUAAGCAUUACGGGUCAACAGAUCAAGGUCAACUUCUAUGAGUCAGUGUAGUAUUUUCUGAUAACUGCAGGUUGACCAGCAUCUGCUGCACGACAGUGCUUAGUGAAACCUACCUAUUAACAUGAUGAACACAAUAGCAGAGUAACUUUAUGAAUAAGUGAAAUUACUUACUUGAUUGAAAGGAUUCUCUUUUUGGACGCUUGGUUAUUGAGGAAAUAAAUUUUUAUGUGAAUCUUGCACGUUAUAUUAAAUUUAUACAAUAUACAAAAUAUUACACAUAUGUUACAAAUAUUUUGAUAGGUAAUGGACCUUAGUCACUCUUUCAUACCAACUUUGCUAAAAGAUUAUAGAUCUAACCACUAACGUGUGUUCACGCCUGUUGCCAAUCAUUUCACUCACAUAUAUAAUUUAAUUGCUUGGUUACCUUUGUUCCAUUCUAUGCUUACAUUAUCAGAACAAUGGUAACUACAGGGUGUCUCAAAAAAAACCAAAAUCAUUGAAAUAACGUAUUGUUCGAAUUUCAAUGUUUUGACAGGGUGAUUAAUUUGUUUUAAAAAAUUAAAAUAUCUUUGUAAAGUGAACGUUUGUUUGCUCAUGGGAAUUUAAAAAUGCUUCGUAAAUUGUAAUAUGCGUA